rnacentral:SRP_RNA from 1 species
UUUCGGAGAUCGCGGGCGAAGGCUUCGCCAAUCUGGUCAGGGCCGGAAGGCAGCAGCCA